rnacentral:rRNA from 1 species
UGAACGCUGGCGGCGUGCCUAAUACAUGCAAGUCGAGCGAACAGACGAGGAGCUUGCUCCUCUGACGUUAGCGGCGGACGGGUGAGUAACACGUGGAUAACCUACCUAUAAGACUGGGAUAACUUCGGGAAACCGGAGCUAAUACCGGAUAAUAUAUUGAACCGCAUGGUUCAAUAGUGAAAGACGGUUUUGCUGUCACUUAUAGAUGGAUCCGCGCCGCAUUAGCUAGUUGGUAAGGUAACGGCUUACCAAGGCAACGAUGCGUAGCCGACCUGAGAGGGUGAUCGGCCACACUGGAACUGAGACACGGUCCAGACUCCUACGGGAGGCAGCAGUAGGGAAUCUUCCGCAAAGGGCGAAAGCUUGACGGAGCAACGCCGCGUGAGUGAUGAAGGUCUUCGGAUCGUAAAGCUCUGUUAUUAGGGAAGAACAAAUGUGUAAGUAACUAUGCACGUCUUGACGGUACCUAAUCAGAAAGCCACGGCUAACUACGUG